rnacentral:rRNA from 1 species
AGUGAACGCUGGCGGUAGGCCUAACACAUGCAAGUCGAACGGCAGCACAGUAAUAGCUUGCUCUUACGGGUGGCGAGUGGCGUACGUGUGAGGAAUACAUCGGAAUCUACCUUUUCGUGGGGGAUAACGUAGGGAAACUUACGCUAAUACCGCAUACGACCUACGGGUGAAAGCAGGGGAUCUUCUGACCUUGCGCGAUUGAAUGAGCCGAUGUGGGAUUAGUUAGUUGGCGGGGUAAAUGCCCACCAAGGCGACGAUCCGUAGCUGGUCUGAGAGGAUGAUCAGCCACACUGGAACUGGGACACGGUCCAGACGACUACGGGAGGCAGCAGUGGGGAAUAUUGGACAAUGGGCGCAAGCAUGAUACAGCGAUACCGCGUGGGUGAAGAAGGCCUUCGGGUUGUAAAGACCUUUUGUUGGGAAAGAAAAGCAGCAGGUUAAUACCCCGCUGUUCUGACGGUACCCAAAGAAUAAGCACCGGCUAACUUCGUG